UACAGUGCAGCAGCGCUGCUACUAGCAGUAGCUUCUCCACAAGCGGCUUGUGAGCCUGUAUGCAGCAGCUGCUGCAGCAGAAGCUUCGAAACAGCUCCAAACAGUUUCAUAUUGGGUGCACCCAGCUGCAGCUCAUCCAUCUCUCAAUAAAAUUUGCCUCAAAACAUGCUACAUCAUAGGUCACAUGCACUAUCCACCCUAACACCUUCUGGUAGUCAUGCCUAGUAUUAGUCCUCUAUCGCCGUUAGUUGACACUACAAGACAUUGCUGCAGCAGCAGUCCUCCACAAGCAGCUUGUGAGCCUGUAUGCAGCAAAGAUCAGGCAGGGGCAUACAGUAGCACCUUUGUCAGACCAUCAUGAACUGCAAUGACUGUGAUGUGGAACUUAGAAUGCAGUUUUUUGCCACACACCUUACUAUUGCUUUAAUCUUCCACUGACUCUGCGUGCUGAUGUGUGGUGGGGAAAGCAUGUGGUGUUGUCCACAGCAGCUGCAGGUUGCUGGGUGGGCCCUGUAGACAGACAAACAUGCCCAUCAGAAGUUAAAUACGCCAAACCCUGUAUAGGAGACUCCAUACAGAAUAUAUGCAGCAAGAGGUAAUUUGACACAAAAUCCAAAAAAACUGCAGUUGCCCUUGUUUGCUUGCACAUGAAUGACAAUUAUCCCCCCUCAAAAUCAGGGGAUCCCCAACCAUCUGUCAAUCUCAGAGUGAUGGAUGCAACUGUGUAGAUACCUGUAGUCACAGCUAUCACCUCCCAAGCAGAAAAAGCAUGCCCGGGAACCGAACUCAGGUCGGAACUAGGAUACUAGCCUAUACCAACCCGUUCUAUCAUGAUUUCCCCAGAGAACAUCUCACCAAUCCCAAGUCUUAGCUCCGUGUAUGACCUACCAACCACGUCUGUAUUUUUUUUGGUCGUCUAUAUCCUGAAGACCCGUCUAUUAGACGAGUCAUCUACAAUAGUUCGUCUAAAGUCGAGUCGUCUAUGCAUGUCGUCUAUAGUCGAUUCAUCUAUUGUAGACGAAGGAUAGACGAUGGGUAGACGGUGAGAGGAGUUCAAUAUGCUGGAGAGUGUCUGCUUGGGUUAAACCAUGCCGCUGAGCUGAUGUCUGUUCUGCAUCAAUGUUGGCAAGGUUCUGGCAGGCUAACACUGCCUGGCAUGUAACGAUUAUCGCCAUACUUACAAAACCCCAGCACAUGCUGUGGGGACCAGGCAGUGCCCAGCCUCUCCCACUUCCUUACCACAAAACUGUAGCAGUUUGAGAUAAUUGGGCAGACUUCAGUGAAGCCCAUCCCUCAUCGACAAGCCCACAACAAAGGCUCGUCAUGGUCCUUUAUAACUGCAAUGUCUGGCAACUUCCCAGCACAGGCCGGCUGGUUUUGAAAACUCUCACCAGCACAGGCUGUGAUGAACAGCCAUUCCAAGUACACCACCCUUGCCAUGUAUGCAUGGAUGCGUGGUGUAACACCACCCAUAACCCGCAAGUCAAUGCAAGAUCAUUAGCUGACAAUAAAAGCUGUUGUUUAAUAUCCUUCUGCUUCCUGCCGAGUUGCACAAAUCUGACCACAGCAUUGCUGACAUCCAUUUUGGUGCCACGACAUCAGCAUAUGCAGUUGGAUAUGCUACGAAAUUCUAUGAUAGCUUAUGAGCAACCUAUGUGCCAUUGGACGAGGCUCAGGUGUGUGCACUGCAUGCAUGGCAGCCUCUUCAAUACAUAUGCCGUUGUUUGUCAACUUCAGAUUUUGUUAAGUGCCCUCUCACGUAGGUCACCUUUCAGAGGAUGGCAUGCAUCUACUCGGCUCCCACAUGUACAGUUACCUAUAUCCGUGGUGGGCGCAUAGCGAGUUCACUAUUCGGUAACAAGUCCGCUCCACCUCCCUGUGACAUCUCCAUCCACACCCUGUGACAUCUCCAUCCACACCGAUGCAAAUGAUGUCGGCAUUGAGGGCUUGAAUGCAUCUGAUGUAUGGUACGGCAGGGUAAGCAUUGACAGCACUGCAGUGGCUGUUGUCACCUGAAUACAUGCCAAUGUCAUAUGACAGGCAAGAGGGAGACCACCCACGAUUCAAUUGCUUACAGGUGCUCUUGCUGCUCAGUGUCGCAUGUGGCGAGUAUGAGGCUGACCUGGUGUAUGUGCGGUGGUUUGAUGCCUCCGGUGAUGGAUGGAAUCGUUCCCUGAACUUGCGGCCCCUCGUCUGGUUUAGGUACGUAUGGUGGGUGUAUCUUAUUUUCUUUCUCCCUUCUUGGUUAAGCAUGGGUCAAAAGCUUUCUUGCAUUCAUGCCCCAACAUUUUGCAGAGCACAUGAAUGAAGCAUGAGGGGCGGGGGCGAAGAGUACUCACAAAUGCAGGGUGUUGUCACUGACUAUCACUAUCACUGACAGCCCCACAAACACUAAUCCCACGUUUGCACCCACUCGUGACCCUUGACAGGCGGAGUGGCCAGCCAGCCGCAUCAUUCGGCUGCAUACCGCUGGAGACAGUGCUGCAGCGGGUUUGCAUUGUCCGUGUGCCCCAAAAGGGCAAGGGGGCACAGGCACCCAGUGCCAGUGGGAAGGGUGGGAAGUCAUGCAGGGUUGCGACUGGCAACAGCAAGGGUGGGCACACAGCUGCCGAGCUGAACCCUAAGUUUGUCUUGAAUGACCUGGUGGGGUUGCCCCCAGAUGACCUGAUUCCUGUUGUGAGUGAGGAGGUGAUGGAUGAGGUGAGGGCAAGGAAGGAUUUGCAGCCCUCUGCGGCUCGGGAAGAGCUUACCAGGGUCCUUAUGGAAAAGGAAAAGGAGAAGCACUCAUGGUUUAAGUAGUACUCAGUACUUGCGAUGCUGGGAUGGGUGGAGCCUGGAAGCGCAUGCCUUGUGUAUGCCUAAAGGAGACAUGGAUUUGGAUACUGUGGAUAUUGAUGUUGUUGAUGACAACCAAGGUUGAGGUUUCAUCAGCCAAGGUUGAUGACAACCACUGGUUUGCUAGUGUCAAUGGCCUGGUCUGGUCUGGGUUGACACUACUGCAAUUAGCGGUUUAAGGUCCUGGGUUCGAUUCCUGGGUAGACCCCCGAAUUAGUCGGGAGCGCGAGAUUAAGGCUAGCUGCUGAGAUGUGGAGUUGAGGUCACAGUUGAUGGACCAGAUUCGCACGCUGGAUUGGUGGCGAUUGCCGAACCCUCCGUCUCUUCAGGUGUUCGGGUGAAUGGAUGAGGAGGGGUCCCUGAAGGCUGGAUCCGCCGCCUUGGACUUACAGUUCGUAUGGCGAAGUACAGUGUGGUAGUGGUGGAUGGUGCUAUAAGGUGAUUAAAGAUCUAGAACUGACAAUGUGAUAAAGCGGCCCAGAAGCCUCCCACUCUGUAACAUUACAUUACAAUUACAUUACAAUGGCAAUGACAAACCUGGACCCGGAACCUGAUUAACAUGGUGGAUGAAGCCCUGGUGGAAGUUCAGAGAGGAAACGACUUGAGAUUGUAACACAUGAAUAAGGAACGAUGCCCGCCAUCCACUGCCGUCUAAAAGAUAAUAGCCUAUACCCGACUGUCUAUAGACAGUGUCUAUAUCCGACUUGUCUAUAGAUAACCGUCUAUAUCCGCGUCGUCUAUAGACGUAAUCUAUAGACGACCUGUCUAUAGACGACUGGGUAUAGACGGUCGUCUAUGGGUCGUCUAUUAGACGGUCGUCUAUAUCGUCUAAAAAACUCAGCUAUAGACGAGCCGUCUAAAACUCAAAAUAGUUCGUCUAUAGUCACGUGGAAAAAUUACAGACGCAACAUACUUGCUCAACGGCUUCUUCCUGUUUGAACCUGGGUAGUUGCCUUAAUCAACCUGUUACAUCAUGAUUUCCCCCAGAGGACAACUCACCAGUGGUCACUAUUCAUGUGUCAUGCUUCGUGAUAUGAGCCAGUAGCCAACAUAUCUCAGGCAGAGCGGCAUCAUGCUUAUGUCACCUUUCUUCAUCGUAGGCAGAGCUUUGGUGGAUGAUGCCGUCUGCAGCUCCCGUUUCUCGCUUCUGUACACAUGCCUGCUGAAGCAAGUUUACCAUAUGGGGUUGCAACCCCCUCAUUUGAGUCCCGCAGAUCAUGCAAGCAAGCAGUUGCAAUGUCUAGCAUGCAAGCCCAAUUUUACUACUUCUCAUGAGACAACAUCAUACCUUGGGUUGUUGCUUGGGUUUGGUGCUGCAGCUGCCCAGGUGUGCAGCCAUGGCAUGAGGAGCGUGGUCGCGAUGGUGAAGUCCUAUGUUGCCAAGUUGCCAUAGAACUCGGCAAAGUCGUCAUAUUUCAUUCCACUGACGGCCAGGAAUUCCUCAAACGCUUUGGUGGCCUUAUCACCAGCAACACUGCAAACGUUGCUGGGCACGUUUAAAAUGUACCGCUCAUCUGAUGAACCAGUGCAAUGGCUGAUGAUGCCACUCACUUGUCAUUCGUUGGCUGCAUCAUAGCUGCAGCUGGACCUCGUGCAUCCUGCGCCUAUUGUCCGACGGCUG
rnacentral:lncRNA from 1 species